CAAUAGCGUAUAUUAAAGUUGUUGCAGUUAAAAAGCUCGUAGUUGGAUUUCGGGGCAGCCUGGCUGGUCCGCCGCAAGGCGAGUACUGGUCAGCCGCCCUUCCUCUCGAAAGCCCCGACUGCUCUUUAUUGCAGUGGUCGGGUAGUUCGGGACGUUUACUUUGAAAAAAUUAGAGUGUUCAAGGCAGGCCUACGCCUGAUUACAUUAGCAUGGAAUAAUGGAAGAGGACCUCGGUCCUAUUUUGUUGGUUUCCAGGACCGAAGUAAUGAUUAAGAGGGACAGUUGGGGGCAUUCGUAUUUAAUCGUCAGAGGUGAAAUUCUCGGAUUUAUGAAAGACGAACAACUGCGAAAGCAUUUGCCAAGGAUGUUUUCAUUAA
rnacentral:rRNA from 1 species